rnacentral:rRNA from 1 species
GCCGCGGUAAUUCCAGCACCAAUAGCGUAUAUUAAUGCUGCUGCUGUUAAAAAGCUCGUAGUUGGAUCAAGAGUCGGACAGUGCACGGUGGCCCUGUUUGUCAUAGUGGUUCCGAUCACUGUGACGGCAGCGGAUCAACCCCGUGCGCCAAACUGUCCGCUCUAACAGACCGAAACGGUUCCCUGUGAGUAGGCUCCUUAAUUGGGGCUGAAAGCGCUUACGCAUCAACCAUAUGCAUACGGGACGUCGGUCAAUGUUACUGUGAACAAACCAGCGUGUCCAAAACAGGCUUUCGCCUGAAUGUUCGAGCAUGGAAUAACAAGGGAUCGAUUCUCUCGGUUCUUUUUGUUGGUUUUUAACCCGAGAAGGAGUAAUUCAGUCCACGGUGUCUGAGUUGGGUUUCCCUUCACCUCGGUGGAGGCCCCAAUUAGGCCGUGUACUUACGGGAUAAAUAGGGACUGACGGGGUCGUACGUACUUCCACGUCAGAGGUGAAAUUCUUAGAUCGUGGGAAGACGAACUUCUGCGAAAGCAUUCGACAAGGAUGUCUUCAUUAAUCAAGAACGAGAGUGUGGGGAUCGAAGAUGAUCAGAUACCGUCGUAGUCCACUACUGUAAACAAUGCCGUCUCAGGAUUGAGAAGUGAACAGAAUGACUUUCACAGCACUAACCCCUGAAACGAGAAAUCAAAGAUUAUGGGUUCAGGGGGGAGUACAUUCGCAAGGCUGAAACUUAAAGGAAUUGACGGAAUGACACCACAAGGCGUGGAGUAUGCGGCUUAAUUUGACUCAACACGGGGAAUUUUACUAGGUCAGGACAAUGUAAGGAUUGACAGAUUGAGAGCUCUUUCUCGAUCCAUUGUGUGGUGGUGCAUGGCCGCUCCUGGUUGGUGGAGUGAUUUGUCUGGUUGAUUCCGUUAACGAACGAGAUCUCGACCCUUAAAUAGGUGCCCAUGUCGAUUGUAGUUUCGCCUCCGCUCGCUUGCGAGAUUGGAGCGGGACGAGACUGUGGGAAUACUUCUUAGGGGGACUGUGUGCGUCUCUAGCACGCGGAAGAGCGAGCCAAUAGCAGGUCUGUGAUG